GAUGAAGAACGCAGCGAAAUGCGAUACUUGGUGUGAAUUGCAGAAUCCCGUGAACCAUCGAGUGUUUGAACGCAAGUUGCGCCCGAAGCCAUCAGGUUGAGGGCACGUCUGCCUGGGCGUCACAUAUCGUUGCCCGAUGCCUAUUGCAGUGCAAUAGGAAUUUCUAGGGCGAAUGAUGGCUUCCCGUGAGCGUUGUUGCCUCGCGGUUGGUUGAAAAUCGAGUCCUUGGUAGGGUGUGCCAUGGUAGAUGGUGGUCGAGUUAGAACGAUACCGAUCAUGUGCAUGCUCCCCAAAAUAUGGCCUCUAUGACCCACACGCGUCUUUUGACGCUCAUGACGAGACCUCAGGUCAGGCGGGGCUACCCGCUGAAUUUAAGCAUAUCAAUAAGCGGAGGA
rnacentral:misc_RNA from 1 species